UGCGUAGGCGGGCUAAUAAGUCAGUGGUGAAAUCUUUCGGCUCAACCGAGAAACUGCCAUUGAUACUGUUAGUCUUGAGUUCGGUUGAGGUAGGCGGAAUGUGUAAUGUAGCGGUGAAAUGCUUAGAUAUUACACAGAACACCAAUUGCGUAGGCAGCUUACUAGACCGACACUGACGCUGAGGCACGAAAGCGUGGGGAGCAAACAGGAUUAGAUACCCUGGUAGUC
rnacentral:rRNA from 1 species